CAACAUUUGUGGAGUUUAUCGUGACACAAAAUUAUAAAGAAUCGUUCCUCAGCAGAAAAUGAAGUAUGCAGUAAUAUUCGUUGUGUUUGUUGUUUGUCUUUUAGGGUUAAAAGAUGUAAAGGCAUCAUGGAAUCCAGACCUUACCAUGACAAAGGAUCAGUGCUCGAAAGUAGUGAAUGGUUGUAAUUCACAAAACAAGGACAAAUUAAAGAAUGCCAAAAAGAACUGUUUAGACUGCUGUGACAGAUCGGGAUGUUAUCAUGGGAAAUGUUCCGGCAAGAAAAAUAAGAAGAAAUGCGUUUGUGAAAAAUGUUGAAUAAUACGUGUUAUGAUAUAGUAGGACUGAGAAAUCAGAGAUGCCUAUAGAUUUUCUUUAUCUCUUACCAACGGAAUAUCUAUAUUAACCAUAGGUCCUGCAUUUGUAAAACCAGGAUUAUCUAAAUUGUAUUUCAAUAUUAGAUCUCAUAUUGUUUCAUAACUUAACAUUUAUCAUAGUAUUUUAUUAUCAUUCUCUACGAACCCCACCAAAUACCCGGGUAAUCUUAGGUUCUCCGGAAGGAUAAGCAGAUUUUGCUCCACAUAUGGCAUGCUCCGUCUUGUUGCUCAUGUAAGUACAAACCAAGUGAUAAGUCUUAUUCGGUAGGUCACAUUCGAGGAAAAGAGGAAGGGAUUAUGGUUACGACAAUUGGAACAUAUCUAAAAUGAUUGUAUCUUCUCUUGUUUUUCAUUUAGAUUGUCGGCCAAAUUUUGACUGUAUUUGUUAGAUUUUAUUGUGUUCUUCAAUGUAAUAUCUGUGUUCUUCAAUGUAGUAGCUGUCUUCAAUGUAUAAUAUAUGUGUUCUUCAAUGUAAUAUCUGUGUUCUUCAAUGUAAUAUAUGUGUUCCUCAAUGUAAUAUAUGUGUUCCUCAAUGUAAUAUGUGCGUUCUUCGAUGUAAUAUCUGUGUUUUUCAAUGUAAUAUCUGGUUCUUCAAUGUAAUAUCUGCGAGAAGAUUCUAUAGCUUAACAUAGCUGCGGAAUUUUCUAAUAAAUGUUGUUUUUGAAAUA